rnacentral:rRNA from 1 species
AUACGGAGGAUGCGAGCGUUAUCCGGAUUUAUUGGGUUUAAAGGGUGCGCAGGCGGACCGCUAAGUCAGGGGUGAAAAGUUGGGGCUUAACUCCAAUCGUGCCUUUGAUACUGGCGGACUAGAGUGCGAUAGGCGUGGCCGGAAUGUGAUGUGUAGCGGUGAAAUGCUUAGAUAUGUCACAGAACACCGAUCGAGAAGUCAGGUCACGAGUUCGCAACUGACGCUCAUGCACGAAAGCGUGGGGAUCAAACAGGAUUAGAUACCCUGGUAGUCCACGCCGUAAACGAUGAUCACUCGUUGCCGGGCAGCGAUGUUCGGUGGCCAAGCGAAAGCGAUAAGUGAUCCACCUGGGGAGUACGAUCGCAAGGUUGAAACUCAAAUGAAUUGGCGGGG